CACGUAGGGUGCAAGCGUUGUCCGGAAUUAUUGGGCGUAAAGAGCUCGUAGGCGGUCUGUCGCGUCGGCUGUGAAAACCCGGGGCUCAACCCCGGGCCUGCAGUCGAUACGGGCAGACUAGAGUGCGGUAGGGGAGACUGGAAUUCCUGGUGUAGCGGUGAAAUGCGCAGAUAUCAGGAGGAACACCGGUGGCGAAGGCGGGUCUCUGGGCCGUAACUGACGCUGAGGAGCGAAAGCGUGGGGAGCGAACAGG
rnacentral:rRNA from 1 species